UACGUAGGGUGCGAGCGUUGUCCGGAAUUAUUGGGCGUAAAGGGCUCGUAGGCGGUUUGUCGCGUCGGGAGUGAAAACCCAGGGCUUAACCCUGGGCUGGCUUCCGAUACGGGCAGACUAGAGGUAUGCAGGGGAGAACGGAAUUCCUGGUGUAGCGGUGAAAUGCGCAGAUAUCGGGAGGAACACCAGUGGCGAAGGCGACUACCUGGCCUGUUCUUGACGCUGAGGCGCGAAAGCUAGGGAGCAACAGGG
rnacentral:rRNA from 1 species